UAUGGAGCUUUAGACACACAGGUGGCCCAUGUCAAAUAACCCCCGCUAAGGGCCUGAACUAAGUGGAGCCUGCCUUGAUGUCUUCGGUUGGGGCGACCAUGGGGAAUACAAAACCCCCACGUGGAAGGGGAGCACACCCCUAAGUUACUUCUUCUCCCGCAAGCCAGAGCAACGGCUCUAACCAGCAGAAAUUCUGACCAAAAUGAUCCGGUAAUACCGAUCAACGAACCAAGUUACCCUA
rnacentral:rRNA from 1 species